UACGGAGGGUGCAAGCGUUAUCCGGAUUCACUGGGUUUAAAGGGUGCGUAGGCGGUCGGGUAAGUCUGAUGUGAAAUCUCACAGCUUAACUGUGAAACUGCAUUGGAUACUAUCCGGCUUGAGGAAUGGAGGGGAGACUGGAAUACUUGGUGUAGCAGUGAAAUGCGUAGAUAUCAAGUGGAACACCAGUGGCGAAGGCGAGUCUCUGGACAUUUCCUGACGCUGAGGCACGAAAGCCAGGGGAGCAAACGGG
rnacentral:rRNA from 1 species